CGAGACACUUCCAAUUUUACGCGGGAGAAAACCCGAAUAACCAAAGACCUACAUACAAACACCCGCGAAAACCUCAGAAAACAAAUAUAUAGUUAUAUAUAUAUAUAUAAAUAGUUAUAUAUAUAUAUAACUAUACAGUGCUCAAUGAAGCCCACCAAUCCUUAAAUCUGGGUCUGUGAGGAGUUAUCCCUCCCUUGAGUAUUAUUGUUAGUAUUAGCUAUUAGCUGAAUACUAAUAAUAAUAGCUAAUUUAUGAAAGCCACCAACCGCUAAUUUCCCUCAGCUGUGACUUAUUAUUAUUAUUAUUUGGCUAAUAGCAGUAUUUCUGAAAGUCAUGGAUUGCUACAUUUGAAUUUGUGAGGGCUUGUUCCCUCAGCUUUGACUAUUAUUAUUAUUUAUAUUCAAACAAUAGCAGUAUUUACCAAAGCCACUAACUCCUAACUUGGAUCUGUGAGGUAUUUAUCCGCUCAGCUUUGACAAUAAUUACUCUCAUUUAUGAAAGUUAUCGAUUCCUAAAUUUGGAUUUUUGAGGAUGCAUCUCCCCAGCUCUGGGUCUCCUUCAAAUGUUUAAACCCAAAGGUUCUUAACUGAAGAUCUGUGAGGGGUUAUCCGACCUCAGCUUUGAUUAUUAUUUAUAUCCAAACAAUGGCAAUAUUUAUGAAAACCACCAACUCCUAAAUUGACACCUGUGAGGAGUUAUCCCCUGAAUUGUGGCGGAUUCUUCUUCUUCUUCAACUAAUAGCAAUAUUUUUGACAGCCACCAACUUUUAAUUUGGAUCUGCAAGGGAUUAUCCCAAACUGUCAGGUUAUGCCAAUACUGGGCUCAAUGGACAGAAUAUAAAAUAGAAUUUCCAACUCCUUUCUAGUCCAAUGCUUUUUAGGAUUUGGGGCAAAAAUAAAGCAGUUUUUUCUCUGUAUGGUUUUCUGUGCAGAAAAAAGCCUCGCCUGCCAUGGUGAUUCACCUGUCGGGAUUGGGGAGAGCCAAGCUCACCUUCAUCAGCAACCCAACCUUCUCUUUAGCUCCUGGAGGAAAGGUGGGGUUUAAAUGUGACAAACAGAUUAAUAAAUAGUCCAAUCCUGGGCAGGAAAUCUGAAUAAGUCCAAACUAUGUGAAAACUUCUGAUGAGAAAUGGGCGCGCCCUGAUCAAUACUUCCAAAGUGAUAACUUUUGACAACCGAAUUCAGCGGAAGAUUCAGAGAUGUGGCAUGGUCAUUCAGAUUUCUGUAGGGUGGAUGCACAUUUUACUCUAGUGUUUCAUGUAUACAAAUUUAAAUAAUAAAUAAUAAAUAAAUAAAUGUUGUAUGUUGAACACAGCCCCUGUAUGAGGAGAUCCUGCUUUUUGGGGUAUGUGAGUCUUGCCCUUCACGUUCACAGCUGGAUCCCAGGUCACAACAGUGAGAGCAAAAUCCUUUAUUAGGAAAAAUCUGCCAAGCAGAAUGACUUUUUCUUUGGAUCGCUUUUGACAUUUGCACAGGCAGUUUCUUUUUAUAUAUCUCCUGCAAAUUACAUACAUCAGCUGAUUAUUAUUAUUAUUAUUUUGCUUUGUUUUCUUUCAGGUUAAAGGACUGUGUUGUUUGGGUGGAAAACAAUUACAGAAAUACUGAAUUAAGCUUGCCACCUGGUUAGGAACUGGAAGGUGACACUAAUUUGAGUUUGCUUUUUCAUUUUCAGAAUCUGUUUCAGUUGCAUCUUCCUCAGUGCAUUUCGGUAAGGUCCAAGCUGAGAUUUCUCCUGUGCAACAGACAGCCAGAGGGAAGAAGAGGAAGUGCAGAACAUUCUCUGCAGAAUCCAAGCACAUGAAGAGAUUUCGGUGGUCCCUCCCUCCCCUCCUGUGCCACCAAUAGAAAGUGGCGUGACGAUUGCAAAAGGACGCAGAUAGACAUGCAAAUGAUUGCAUGCGAAGGCAUUGUGGGAUCAAAACCGGGGUGCAAAUCAGUGCUGGCAAAGUACCCCAACACACUGUGUAAGCAAACUGGGGAGAGGCAGGAUCUCAGCAGAGCCUUCCUGAGCUUGCUGGGGAUUUUCUGGGGGA